rnacentral:rRNA from 1 species
UACGUAGGCAGCAAGCGUUGUUCGGAAUUACUGGGCGUAAAGAGUGUGUAGGCGGUGCUCUAAGUCUGUUGUGAAAUCUCCCGGCUUAACUGGGAGGGUGCGGCGGAGACUGGAGUGCUAGAGCGUGGGAGAGGUAAGCGGAAUUCCUGGUGUAGCGGUGAAAUGCGUAGAUAUCAGGAGGAACACCUGUGGUGUAGACAGCUUACUGGACCACGACUGACGCUGAGACACGAAAGCGUGGGUAGCAAACAGG